GCAAAGGUGGCGCAGGGGUAGGGCGUGCGACCUAUGGGGCCUCAGUCCUCAAAGCAGCCCGUCACGGGUUCGAGUCCCGGCGUUUGCC